UAAUUUGUCCAGAAGGGUGACUCUCACAAUUAAUCGUUUUGUUGUGGACAAAACGUUGAGAAAUGAAGCCUGGGGUCGGUGAUUGCGUGUCUGGUGGAAGGGAGAGCACUCCAUUGCUCACUAACGGCCCGACUUCCGGUUAGCACGAGGAGCCCAGCAAAGGUCAGCGAUCCUAUUGUGGCGACAUGGGAGCCAACAAACCAGUCCAGUUUGUCAAAUCACUGUACACCGACCCAUUCCGAUGGUCAGUUGUAAAGAGUGUUGCAUUAUUUGCCCUUGCUGUGUAUGUUGCACGAGAGAUGGCAGCAGCUGAACAAGCAGCUCAGUUGUCACCAUCCUGAUGGAAGACAGAAGCCAGACAAGGAGUUCAUGACUGUAGUGCCUGGUUGGCAGCACAUCCUGAUGAACAUAGAUCUGUCAUAACAAAGUUAUUCCACCGAAUUGUACAUUUGCAAAUUUGGCCAUGCUGUUAUCACGAACAUCUUUUGGAAUUAAAAUGUUUCAUUUUGUGUAACUGUCA
rnacentral:lncRNA from 1 species